GCUAACACAUGCAAGUCGAGCGCACUCUUCGGAGUGAGCGGCGGACGGGUUAGUAACGCGUGGGAACGUACCCAGAUCUACGGAAUAGCCUCGGGAAACUGAGAGUAAUACCGUAUACGCCCUUCGGGGGAAAGAUUUAUCGGAUUUGGAUCGGCCCGCGUUAGAUUAGAUAGUUGGUGAGGUAACGGCUCACCAAGUCUACGAUCUAUAGCUGGUUUUAGAGGAUGAUCAGCAACACUGGGACUGAGACACGGCCCAGACUCCUACGGGAGGCAGCAGUGGGGAAUCUUGGACAAUGGGCGCAAGCCUGAUCCAGCCAUGCCGCGUGAGUGAUGAAGGCCUUAGGGUCGUAAAGCUCUUCCGCCAGAGAUGAUAAUGACAGUAUCUGGUAAAGAAACCCCGGCUAACUCCGUGCCAGCCGCCGCGGUAAUA
rnacentral:rRNA from 1 species